rnacentral:rRNA from 1 species
CAGCCGCCACGGGAAUACGUAGGGUGCAAGCGUUAAUCGGAAUUACUGGGCGUAAAGCGUGCGCAGGCGGUCCGCUAAGACAGAUGUGAAAUCCCCGGGCUUAACCUGGGAACUGCAUUUGUGACUGGCGGGCUAGAGUAUGGCAGAGGGGGGUAGAAUUCCACGUGUAGCAGUGAAAUGCGUAGAGAUGUGGAGGAAUACCGAUGGCGAAGGCAGCCCCCUGGGCCAAUACUGACGCUCAUGCACGAAAGCGUGGGGAGCAAACAGGAUUAGAUACCCCUGUAGUCCCUGUCUCUUAUAC